rnacentral:lncRNA from 1 species
AGGAAUUAGAACAGGGAAAGCUUAAUGUGAAGAAUAACUUGUCAAAGGAGGUUGGUGCUAGUAUUGAACUCUCUGGAGCACAGCUUACUGUCUCCAGCUUAUUAUGAUGAUUCAAUUGACAGUGUUUUUGACUUUUUGAUUGUGCAAAAGCCAUGGGCGCUCCACGGAAACCAUACUUGAGGUUUUGAAUUUUGAUCUUUUCCCAGGAUGGUGAAGUGCUGAUCAGCACUCUCUUGAGAUACUGGACAGCGUGACGGUGGCUGCUCCCGGUCAGCCACAGGUCACUAGGUGGGAUGCAUUGUGCGGCUGAGCUAAGCUAUGCCGUGGUUGGGUGUAUUACAUGCAUUUUCAAAUUAUGAUAUUUUACAUUUACGAUGGGCUGUGGGGGAGACAACCCCAUUGCAAGUUGAGGAGCAUCUUGCAAGAAGUAGUGGCUUCCUCUGGUGCCGAGGGGGGGUGACUGAUUCCGCAGUUAAGGACUUCAGAGCUGAGGUUUAGAUGCGGUUGGAGAGCCUGAUGCUGCUCAGGAACACAUGACGCGCUGGUGGCAAAAGAACCUGGCAGGAGUUGUACUCAGGGUCAGUCUAUAGGGUCAGCCAGCCGAGGGGACGAGAGGCUUGCUGUGGGGUGUGGGAAGACCAAGAGUGGCCCACAGGAAGUGGCCCGCUGGGUGUCAGAGGCACUUGAUGGACAGUGGACACCCUGGGUUGGCUGGCAGGAAAGGCUGUGUGACAGGAGAAGUCCUUCUGGGAGCACAGUAGGCAGAGCUCCUCCAGUGCCAGCUGCUGAGAGAGAGUACUAUCGUG